ACCCUCCUUAUUCCUUACCGAUCAGAUCAAAACAUUAUUUGAAUGGCUAUAAAAGGGGGAAAAGUAAAACAGAAAUGGACUUGGAUUCUUUGAAAACAUGUAAGUUGGUUUCACACAAGU
rnacentral:snoRNA from 1 species